rnacentral:rRNA from 1 species
GAUGAACGCUGACAGAAUGCUUAACACAUGCAAGUCUUUCGCGAAGCUGUGCUUGCACAGCCUAGCCAAGGCGGACGGGUGAGUAACGCGUCAGGAACUUGCCCUGCAGUCAGGGAUAACAGACGGAAACGACUGAUAAGACCUGGUAAAGUCAGGCGGACUCAUGUCCAGCCUGAUGAAAAGAGAUGCUGCAGGAGAGCCUUGCGUCCUAUUAGCUUGUUGGUGGGGUAACGGCCCACCAAGGCGAUGAUAGGUAGCCGGCCUGAGAGGGUGGACGGCCACAAGGGGACUGAGAGACGGCCGUUACUCCUACGGGAGGCAGCAGUGGGGAAUAUUGGACAAUGGGGGCAACCCUGAUCCAGGAAUUCUGUGUGCACGAUGAAGGUUUUCGGAUUGUAAAGUGCUUUCAGCAGGGAAGAAAAAAAUGACGGUACCUGCAGAAGAAGCGACGGCUAAAUACGUG